CUCAAACCAUGAUACAUCGGCAGGGACGGAUGCACUAAGGGACAUGGUGUGGCUUUAGCCACACCAGAUUUUUUGAUUUUUUUUUUAUAAACAUAUAUAUAGAUAUAUAUUGUGUUAAAUAUUGUCUUCGGAUACUAGUUAAAUAUAUUANNNNNNNNNNNNNNNNNNNNNNNNNCUUAUAAAUAACUCAUUGUCAUUUGGAGCUUUAGAUGUGAAAAAUUAUCAUCGUAUUUCUUAACAUCGCCCACCCUCCCCAUAGCCACCACUCACCAAAUUUGAGUCCCUCAUUGUCAUUUGGAUCUUUAGUUGUGAAAAAUUAUCGAGAAUAGUUGAGCUUAAUUUAUCCAAGUGAUUUUGUAGAUGAGCCAAAAAUAAUGGUGCGACAUCAACUUCAAAAUUAUAUUAGAGAUGUUUAAUUUUAGCCACACCAGUUUUUUAUGUCUGGAUCCGUCCCUGUACAUCGGGUGUCAAUUUUUCUUCUUCCCUAUUCUGUAUCAUAACUACUUUACUGCAUAAUCUAUCAUGUAGACUACUUCAUUUUCAUACCAUUAUUAUUAUGUUUUAACACAGCAAAAAUCAACAUGUAUAUUGGUCCUAAAGAGGUGAAUCCUGAACCCUAUGUUGUUUUUGAUUUUGAAACUCGAA
rnacentral:lncRNA from 1 species